GGUUUUAUAGUUUAAUAAAAAUAUUAAAUUGCAAAUUUAAAGAUAAAGCGUUAUUUUAAAACUU
rnacentral:tRNA from 1 species